GCUGGCAUGGCUUAGUGGUUGAGCACUGGCCUAUGAACCAAGAGGUCACUGGUUCGAUUCCUGGUCCGGGCG
rnacentral:tRNA from 1 species